AUAUAGCUCAGUUGGUAGAGUACUUGCCUCACAUGCACAAGGCCCUGGGUUCAAUCCCCAGGGGAAAAUAUA
rnacentral:tRNA from 1 species